rnacentral:misc_RNA from 1 species
GAUGAAGAACGCAGCGAAAUGCGAUAAGUAAUGAAUUGCAGAAUUCAGUGAAUCAUCGAAUCUUUGAACGCACAUUGCGCCCUCUGGUAUUCCGGGGGGCAUGCCUGUUCGAGCGUCAUUAUAACCACUCAAGCUCUCGCUUGGUAUUGGGGUUCGCGGUUCCGCGGCCCCUAAAAUCAGUGGCGGUGCCUGUCGGCUCUACGCGUAGUAAUACUCCUCGCGAUUGAGUCCGGUAGGUCUACUUGCCAGCAACCCCCAAUUUUUACAGGUUGACCUCGGAUCAGGUAGGGAUACCCGCUGAACUUAAGCAUAUCAAUAAGCGGAGGA